rnacentral:rRNA from 1 species
UUAGAGUUUGAUCAUGGCUCAGGACGAACGCUGGCGGCGUGCUUAACACAUGCAAGUCGAGCGGAAAGGCCCCUUUUGGGGGGUACUCGAGCGGCGAACGGGUGAGUAACACGUGAGUGAUCUGCCCCUUACUCUGGGAUAACUGUCUGAAAGGGUGGCUAAUACCGGAUGUGACUGCGUCCUGCAUGGGGUGUGGUGGAAAGCUUCUCUCUUUUUGGGGGUUGUGGUGGGGGAUGUGCUCGCGGCCUAUCAGCUUGUUGGUGGGGUAAUGGCCUACCAAGGCUUUGACGGGUAGCCGGCCUGAGAGGGUGACCGGCCACACUGGGACUGAGACACGGCCCAGACUCCUACGGGAGGCAGCAGUGGGGAAUAUUGGACAAUGGGCGCAAGCCUGAUCCAGCAAUGCCGCGUGUGUGAAGAAGGCCUUCGGGUUGUAAAGCACUUUUGUCCGGAAAGAAAACCUCUUGGUUAAUACCUGAGGGGGAUGACGGUACCGGAAGAAUAAGCACCGGCUAACUACGUGCCAGCAGCCGCGGUA